AAUAAUACAACUUUUUUAUUCUCUAAUAGCUCGUUAAAUUUUUUAAUUUAUCCAAUCAUAUACUUUAUUCAUAUCAACCGACUUUUUUAAGCCACCUUCUUUCUUUAAAUAGAUUCCAUCUUCUCUCGCUCUCCAAUCCCAAUCAGCUCCAUUAUCAUAAGCAGUAUAUUGUUUAAAUGCGGUAAAAUUUUGAUAAUGUCUAUAGUUUGGUCUUUGUUUCAAAGUACACAUGAAACGAGUCGUACCCCAAAUGUUAGCGCGAAAACUAUUCACGUAAUCAUAUCCCACUGGUAUUAUUUUUGGACCUAUUACAUCAUUUUUGGAAUAACACCUCAUCCAUAAGUUUUUAUGAGAUUUGAGUUCGUUCACGAUUCUAAUUCCGGUGCCGGAUACAUGACCAAAAAUGUAAAUACUAAAAACAAAUAGAAAAACUGAAAGGAUU
rnacentral:sRNA from 1 species